CCUACGGGAGGCAGCAGUGGGGAAUUUUGGACAAUGGGGGCAACCCUGAUCCAGCCAUGCCGCGUGAGUGAAGAAGGCCUUCGGGUUGUAAAGCUCUUUCAGACGGAAAGAAACGGUUACGGCUAAUACCCGUGACUAAUUACGGUACCGUCAGAAGAAGCACCGGCUAACUGCGUGCCAGCAGCCGCGGUAAUACGUAGGGUGCGAGCGUUAAUCGGAAUUACUGGGCGUAAAGCGUGCGCAGGCGGUUAUGUAAGACAGAUGUGAAAUCCCCGGGCUUAACCUGGGAACUGCGUUUGUGACUGCAUAACUAGAGUGCGGCAGAGGGGGGUGGAAUUCCACGUGUAGCAGUGAAAUGCGUAGAUAUGUGGAGGAACACCGAUGGCGAAGGCAGCCCCCUGGGUCGACACUGACGCUCAGGCACGAAAGCGUGGGGAGCAAACAGGAUUAGAUACCCCAGUAGUC
rnacentral:rRNA from 1 species